GCCACCAUGUCUCCUGGCACAGAAGGUCAAAUGCUCAACUCAUGACUCUCGGAUUGUUGUUUUGCCUGGAGGAGGUAUAGCCCUACAAACAUCAAAACAGGAGUCCUACCUGUGAUAACAUGUGUCACAGGUGCCUGAGACUCA
rnacentral:lncRNA from 14 species